CCUACGGGAGGCAGCAGUGGGGAAUAUUGCGCAAUGGGCGAAAGCCUGACGCAGCGACGCCGCGUGGGGGAUGAAGGUCUUCGGAUCGUAAACCUCUGUCAGCAGGGAAGAACGGUCACUGUGCUAAUCAGCAGUGAAUCGACGGUACCUGCACAGGAAGCACCGGCUAACUACGUGCCAGCAGCCGCGGUAAUACGGAGGGUGCGAGCGUUAACCGGAAUUACUGGGCGUAAAGUGCCCGUAGGCGGUCUGUCAAGUCAGGGGUGAAAUCCCCGCGCUCAACGUGGGAACUGCCUUUGAAACUGGCAGACUUGAGUGUGGAAGAGGAUAGUGGAAUUCCAGGUGUAGGAGUGAAAUCCGUAGAUAUCUGGAGGAACAUCAGUGGCGAAGGCGACUAUCUGGCACAUAACUGACGCUGAGGAGCGAAAGCGUGGGUAGCAAACAGGAUUAGAUACCCGAGUAGUC
rnacentral:rRNA from 1 species